rnacentral:rRNA from 1 species
AGUGAACGCUGGCGGUAGGCCUAACACAUGCAAGUCGAACGGCAGCACAGUAAGAGCUUGCUCUUACGGGUGGCGAGUGGCGGACGGGUGAGGAAUACAUCGGAAUCUACUUUUUCGUGGGGGAUAACGUAGGGAAACUUACGCUAAUACCGCAUACGACCUACGGGUGAAAGCAGGGGAUCUUCGGACCUUUCGCGAUUGAAUGAGCCGAUGUCGGAUUAGCUAGUUGGCGGGGUAAAGGCCCACCAAGGCGACGAUCCGUAGCUGGUCUGAGAGGAUGAUCAGCCACACUGGAACUGAGACACGGUCCAGACUCCUACGGGAGGCAGCAGUGGGGAAUAUUGGACAAUGGGCGCAAGCCUGAUCCAGCCAUACCGCGUGGGUGAAGAAGGCCUUCGGGUUGUAAAGCCCUUUUGUUGGGAAAGAAAAGCAGCAGGUUAAUACCCCGCUGUUCUGACGGUACCCAAAGAGUAAGCACCGGCUAACUUCGUG